AGUGAACGCUGGCGGUAGGCCUAACACAUGCAAGUCGAACGGCAGCACAGUAAGAGCUUGCUCUUACGGGUGGCGAGUGGCGGACGGGUGAGGAAUACAUCGGAAUCUACUUUUUCGUGGGGGAUAACGUAGGGAAACUUACGCUAAUACCGCAUACGACCUACGGGUGAAAGCAGGGGAUCUUCGGACCUUGCGCGAUUGAAUGAGCCGAUGUCGGAUUAGCUAGUUGGCGGGGUAAAGGCCCACCAAGGCGACGAUCCGUAGCUGGUCUGAGAGGAUGAUCAGCCACACUGGAACUGAGACACGGUCCAGACUCCUACGGGAGGCAGCAGUGGGGAAUAUUGGACAAUGGGCGCAAGCCUGGUCCAGCCAUACCGCGUGGGUGAAGAAGGCCUUCGGGUUGUAAAGCCCUUCUGUUGGGAAAGAAAAGCAGCAGGUUAAUACCCCGCUGUUCUGACGGUACCCAAAGAAUAAGCACCGGCUAACUUCGUG
rnacentral:rRNA from 1 species